rnacentral:lncRNA from 10 species
UAGAUGCCCAAGGCCACCUUCGUGGGCACACGACCCGAGCAGUCACACAGGACCCUGUGAUCAGAAUGGCCUCACUUGGGUUUAAUACUCUGCUGUCUUCAUCUUAAAAUUCUUAAUAAUUUAAUGUUUGAGCCCGUGCUUUGUAAGUGAAGUCUGAUGGAACAACGGAGCAUGCGCGUGAGUAGAGGAGAUACAGACGAUACGUGUGUCUGAGUUUUUUGUGGCUCCAUUAGCAUAUGGUGUUGAUGAUGCCCCCUGAGCACAGAAUUCUGGUGAGCCCACAAUGCAUGGGAGUUCAGCGAGAUUCAAUGCCAGUACAAGUGGGCCUCUCAAGUUGUGAAGCCAGCUGUGACCAUGCCACUUCCCCCACUGAGGGAUGGAGUCUAUUCCUCUGCCUCUUGAAUCUAGUCUGGCCUAUGACUACUUUAACCAGUAGAAUUCCAUAGAAAAGGACUAUGUCAGUUGCACACUUCACCUUGAAGAGGACUGGAGGUUUUCACUUCCUGCCUCUUGGAGCCCUGAGCCAGCAUGAAUAAAGUCUAGGCUACUCUGCUGGAGAGAGGGACAUAAGGGUGUCAGACGUGUAAGGGAAGAAGCCACCUCACACACCUCAGCCCUAGCUGCCUUCUAACUGCAACCACCUGAGAGACCCCAGGCAAAAACCACCCAGCCAAGCUCUGUUGACCAACAGAAUCAUGAGAGAUAAUAAGAAAUAACAAUUAUGUAAUGCCACUAAGCUUCAAGAUGACUUGUUCAGCAGUAAGAGAUAACUAGAACAGUGUCCCUCCCCUUUUAUAACCUGUGUUUUUAGAUUUCAAAAAGAAAAUUCUAGAUUUAUUUCUUCCAGGAAAUCAUAAUGCUAAGUAGCAAAUACUAUGACGUAGUAAGAGAUAACUAGAACAGUGUCCCUC